UGAGCUGCGCACCUGCACCGGAGCAGCGGCGCGGUGCGGGCCGGGCGGGCCGGGCCGGGGGUGUUUAGGGGGACCCUCCCGGCUCCUCCUGCCUCCAGAGAAGGCACCGGAAACGAUGGCGGCCGCUAAACCGAGUGCUUUUUAAGGCGGGAAGCAGAGGGGGCCGGCCGCGGCCGAUCCAUCGGGCUCCAGAGCGGUCGGCUGGCGAGUCGCGAGCGCCCGACCCGCCGCCGCCAUUGGAGGAGAUUCAGAAUCCAAGAAACCAGGACCCAGCCCUGCCCCUUAGGAAACGGUGCCAGGGGGUUGGCCCGAGUGCCUGCGUGAUCUACCAGGUGGAGUUUGAGACUGAGGAUUAAGCCAGCCAUCACAUUCCAAGCUCUGGGCAUGGUGAUUGGCUCAGGGGUGAGCAUGUGACCCAACUCACCCAGCGAGCCUCUGGUUUCUGCCCUAAGUGAAGAGCGAUGGGGAAGAGCUGCCCUCUUUAUUGGACUUGGGAUGUGAGACUGUCAUCCUGAUGCAGAUGAAGAAUUUGAGGCUUAGGUUUGGACUGUGUGAUGCUUACUCUGGGACAAAGACUGAGGGAGCUCAAGCAGCGCCUUAAAGGACUCCAGCCUGCAGGGG